AGAGUUUGAUCCUGGCUCAGAUUGAACGCUGGCGGCAGGCCUAACACAUGCAAGUCGAGCGGUAGAGAGAAGCUUGCUUCUCUUGAGAGCGGCGGACGGGUGAGUAAUGCCUAGGAAUCUGCCUGGUAGUGGGGGAUAACGUUCGGAAACGGACGCUAAUACCGCAUACGUCCUACGGGAGAAAGCAGGGGACCUUCGGGCCUUGCGCUAUCAGAUGAGCCUAGGUCGGAUUAGCUAGUUGGUGAGGUAAUGGCUCACCAAGGCGACGAUCCGUAACUGGUCUGAGAGGAUGAUCAGUCACACUGGAACUGAGACACGGUCCAGACUCCUACGGGAGGCAGCAGUGGGGAAUAUUGGACAAUGGGCGAAAGCCUGAUCCAGCCAUGCCGCGUGUGUGAAGAAGGUCUUCGGAUUGUAAAGCACUUUAAGUUGGGAGGAAGGGCAGUUACCUAAUACGUGAUUGUUUUGACGUUACCGACAGAAUAAGCACCGGCUAACUCUGUGCCAGCAGCCGCGGUAAUACAGAGGGUGCAAGCGUUAAUCGGAAUUACUGGGCGUAAAGCGCGCGUAGGUGGUUAGUUAAGUUGGAUGUGAAAUCCCCGGGCUCAACCUGGGAACUGCAUUCAAAACUGACUGACUAGAGUAUGGUAGAGGGUGGUGGAAUUUCCUGUGUAGCGGUGAAAUGCGUAGAUAUAGGAAGGAACACCAGUGGCGAAGGCGACCACCUGGACUGAUACUGACACUGAGGUGCGAAAGCAUGGGGAGCAAACAGGAUUAGAUACCCUGGUAGUCCACGCCGUAAACGAUGUCAACUAGCCGUUGGGAGCCUUGAGCUCUUAGUGGCGCAGCUAACGCAUUAAGUUGACCGCCUGGGGAGUACGGCCGCAAGGUUAAAACUCAAAUGAAUUGACGGGGGCCCGCACAAGCGGUGGAGCAUGUGGUUUAAUUCGAAGCAACGCGAAGAACCUUACCAGGCCUUGACAUCCAAUGAACUUUCUAGAGAUAGAUUGGUGCCUUCGGGAACAUUGAGACAGGUGCUGCAUGGCUGUCGUCAGCUCGUGUCGUGAGAUGUUGGGUUAAGUCCCGUAACGAGCGCAACCCUUGUCCUUAGUUACCAGCACGUUAUGGUGGGCACUCUAAGGAGACUGCCGGUGACAAACCGGAGGAAGGUGGGGAUGACGUCAAGUCAUCAUGGCCCUUACGGCCUGGGCUACACACGUGCUACAAUGGUCGGUACAGAGGGUUGCCAAGCCGCGAGGUGGAGCUAAUCCCACAAAACCGAUCGUAGUCCGGAUCGCAGUCUGCAACUCGACUGCGUGAAGUCGGAAUCGCUAGUAAUCGCGAAUCAGAAUGUCGCGGUGAAUACGUUCCCGGGCCUUGUACACACCGCCCGUCACACCAUGGGAGUGGGUUGCACCAGAAGUAGCUAGUCUAACCUUCGGGGGGACGGUUACCACGGUGUGAUUCAUGACUGGGGUGAAGUCGUAACAAGGUAGCCGUAGGGGAACCUGCGGCUG
rnacentral:rRNA from 1 species